CGCCGAGGCACCGAGGCACUCAAAGGAGGUGAGAGAGCGGCGGCAGACAACAGGGGACCCCGGGCCGGCGGCCCAGAGCCGAGCCGAGCGUGCCCGCGUGUGUCCGUGCGUGUCCGCGAGGAUACGUGUUCGCGGGUGUGUGCUGCGUUCACAGGUGUUUCUGCGGCAGGGUGACGCGCAGCCGGAGUGGAAGCAGAGUUUUGGCGGGCGAGCAGCGCCUUGCAGGAAACUGACUCAUCACUACUCCCUCCAGCGGUCCGAGGCUCUGCCCACGCACCUCCCACCCCGCGCGUGAUUUCCUGGAGGCCGGCGCCCCCUCCCGGCCCUGGCGGGAAUAGCACACAGGCUUUCCCGCGGAGUGGGGCUGGUCCGCGCGAACCGCCGCGGCUACUCCUGGGCUCAUCCGAGAUCAACCCCUGUGCCAUUACCAUCCCUUCAAAGGAGCACUCCUUAGGCUCAACAGUAUUUACUGAGCUCUUACUGGAAAUUAAAAUAUGACUGAAGUCUAAGGCAGGAAGGCCAAUAAAGGAGGCUAUUUUUAAUUGUUGCUAAAAC
rnacentral:sRNA from 1 species